CUCAUUCUCUUUCUUUUGUGUUGAUUCCUCCAUUAUCCCUUUUUGCUCCCAAAACAAGUUAUUGAUGGAAAGUAUUAUACCAAGUAAGGAUAUUGAUUUCUUUGCAUUAUUUCAUCAAGUUCAUCAGGAUAAACAAUACUUGUUAUAGCAAUAGCUACACUACCCGAGUUUCAUUAUUGAUAGACAUUGUUUAUGUGGAAAUUUAUAAAAAGAAGGAACAAAAGGUUGCAGCACAUAUCCC
rnacentral:lncRNA from 1 species